CGGCAUGAAUAUGGCUGACAAACUUAUAGUGGUUGUCGAAUUGUACCAACCACAUCUUAUGUUGCCACCAGAACAAUAUUAAUGUGACUAUGUAGAAAUGGAGAAGGGUCAAAGGUAUUCGAUAUCAUACAUUCACGACUACUACUCCUUCUGUACCAUGGUAUGAUUCUUUUGUAUGUAGUUUGUUACUUGCAGCAUAGACUGUACAUAUGCCAGAAUAUGAUUGGAGAAUUAGUCCCUCACCAAGCUAUACUUCCCAAGUUAGCAAAAUGUUAAUAUGAUGACAAAAGUACAAUCAAUAUUUUGAUGAUAAAGAAUUCCGUGUUGAAUAGUCAAUAAAUAAGCCUUUUAUAGCAUCAAUUUUUAUAUAGAUUAAUUUGGUUCAUGCUUAGGAAUUGUUGACUCACUUAACUCUGUCAUGGAGCCGAGAUGAAAUUAUACAACGACAAAGCAGACAUGUUGACAAAGUACCAAUGUAUACACUAAAAAGGGCAUUUGUUUACCAUGCAUCCUUCCAAUAAUGAUAAUUAUUUUCCAACUUUUACUUGCUUUUUCUUGAGCUAUAGCCUUGCCCUAGAUAGGGGAAAAAGUGUCUAGCUAGCUUUUAUCCCAACAUAAUGAGAAUUUAUGAUUGAUCUACACAUUAUUAGUAUAUGAUUGUUUCCUUACUUCCCAUUCAACAAAUGUAUAUCCUGAUUGUUUGGAGUGGCCAUGCAGUCCCCUCCUUAUGUUUCCAGCAAAGAAAAGAUGCUCGAAACAUUGCAGUUUCUUGGUUAUUAGGCGACCCACCACCGCCAGAGAACGGAGACUUAGACUGGAACCAACCAUCUGCAAAAAGAGUAACAGAGCAAAGCAGAGAAGAAAAUGGAGGGGGGGGUACUAGCUAACUACUUUAAAAGGAAAGACAAACUUCUCUAAAGAGGCCUUUGGUCCUUAGGCACAACCUAUAUUUUUUACACGAAGAUAACAAUUGGAAUGGAUCAUGAAAUCUUCAUGUCAAAACUUCCUAAUUUAUAUGUUUUACUUAUAUUUAAUUAAGAAAAUACCAAGUUAAGCACGGCAUUGUUUUCGACCAGCUGUUUGUCAGUUCAUGUGGAGUCUGUAGCUUAUUGCAAAGGUCAAGCUAACAAAAUGGUCAGAUGAUCAACAUCUGCUGCUCUGAGAUGGCACAUCUUCAAGCAUUGGUCUCUGCUAUCUAUAGGAAGGUAGAGCUUCAAUUGGUGUUGUGUAUUUUUAGGUAGCACAGAGCAGAGUCUGUAGCUUAUUGCAAAGGUCAAGCUAACAAAAUGGUCAGAUGAUCAACAUCUGCUGCUGUGAGAUGGCACAUCUUCAAGCAUUGGUCUCUGCUAUCUAUAGGAAGGUAGAGCUUCAAUUGGUGUUGUGUAUUUUUAGGUAGCACGGAGCAGCUUUUGAAACUUAUGUUUUACGAUACUGAAUAGUAUCAUUCCGCAUGCAUCAGUGAUCGAGGAUGGGACUUCUUGGUAUCUUUGCACCCAGCUUGACCUCAAACCUACUGCACCCUACUCAUUUGAAAAUAAAUAAUGACAAACACGCAUGCACAUGCUUAACCACGGGCGCGUGCGCCGCGCCUUCCUCCUGCUAGUACUAAUAAUGAUUACUCGUACUGGUUCUCGGCCACGGGCGAAAUUAAUCAAUGGAAUGCUAGUUUAAUAGGAAACCGUUCAUGCAAGUAACUACUUCCU
rnacentral:lncRNA from 1 species